CGGUUAAGUUAGAAAGGGCGCACGGUGGAUGCCUUGGCACUAGGAGCCGAUGAAGGACGGGACGAACACCGAUAUGCUUCGGGGAGCUGUAAGCAAGCUUUGAUCCGGAGAUUUCCGAAUGGGGAAACCCACCACUCGUAAUGGAGUGGUAUCCAUAUCUGAAUUCAUAGGAUAUGAGAAGGCAGACCCGGGGAACUGAAACAUCUAAGUACCCGGAGGAAGAGAAAGCAAAUGCGAUUCCCUGAGUAGCGGCGAGCGAAACGGGAUUAGCCCAAACCAAGAGGCUUGCCUCUUGGGGUUGUAGGACACUCUGUACGGAGUUACAAAAGAACGAGGUAGAUGAAGAGGUCUGGAAAGGCCCGCCAUAGGAGGUAACAGCCCUGUAGUCAAAACUUCGUUCUCUCCUGAGUGGAUCCUGAGUACGGCGGAACACGUGAAAUUCCGUCGGAAUCCGGGAGGACCAUCUCCCAAGGCUAAAUACUCCCUAGUGACCGAUAGUGAACCAGUACCGUGAGGGAAAGGUGAAAAGCACCCCGGAAGGGGAGUGAAAGAGAUCCUGAAACCGUGUGCCUACAAGUAGUCAGAGCCCGUUAACGGGUGAUGGCGUGCCUUUUGUAGAAUGAACCGGCGAGUUACGAUCCCGUGCAAGGUUAAGCAGAAGAUGCGGAGCCGCAGCGAAAGCGAGUCUGAAUAGGGCGCAUGAGUACGUGGUCGUAGACCCGAAACCAGGUGAUCUACCCAUGUCCAGGGUGAAGUUCAGGUAACACUGAAUGGAGGCCCGAACCCACGCACGUUGAAAAGUGCGGGGAUGAGGUGUGGGUAGGGGUGAAAUGCCAAUCGAACCUGGAGAUAGCUGGUUCUCUCCGAAAUAGCUUUAGGGCUAGCCUCAAGGUAAGAGUCUUGGAGGUAGAGCACUGAUUGGACUAGGGGCCCCUACCGGGUUACCGAAUUCAGUCAAACUCCGAAUGCCAAUGACUUAUCCUUGGGAGUCAGACUGCGAGUGAUAAGAUCCGUAGUCGAAAGGGAAACAGCCCAGACCGCCAGCUAAGGUCCCAAAGUAUACGUUAAGUGGAAAAGGAUGUGGAGUUGCUUAGACAACCAGGAUGUUGGCUUAGAAGCAGCCACCAUUUAAAGAGUGCGUAAUAGCUCACUGGUCGAGUGACUCUGCGCCGAAAAUGUACCGGGGCUAAACGUAUCACCGAAGCUGCGGACUGUUCUUCGAACAGUGGUAGGAGAGCGUUCUAAGGGCUGUGAAGCCAGACCGGAAGGACUGGUGGAGCGCUUAGAAGUGAGAAUGCCGGUAUGAGUAGCGAAAGAGGGGUGAGAAUCCCCUCCACCGAAUGCCUAAGGUUUCCUGAGGAAGGCUCGUCCGCUCAGGGUUAGUCGGGACCUAAGCCGAGGCCGAAAGGCGUAGGCGAUGGACAACAGGUUGAUAUUCCUGUACCACCUCCUCACCAUUUGAGCAAUGGGGGGACGCAGGAGGAUAGGGUAAGCGCGGUAUUGGAUAUCCGCGUCCAAGCAGUUAGGCUGGGAAAUAGGCAAAUCCGUUUCCCAUAAGGCUGAGCUGUGAUGGCGAGCGAAAUAUAGUAGCGAAGUUCCUGAUUCCACACUGCCAAGAAAAGCCUCUAGCGAGGUGAGAGGUGCCCGUACCGCAAACCGACACAGGUAGGCGAGGAGAGAAUCCUAAGGUGAUCGAGAGAACUCUCGUUAAGGAACUCGGCAAAAUGACCCCGUAACUUCGGGAGAAGGGGUGCUCUGUUAGGGUGCAAGCCCGAGAGAGCCGCAGUGAAUAGGCCCAGGCGACUGUUUAGCAAAAACACAGGUCUCUGCGAAGCCGUAAGGCGAAGUAUAGGGGCUGACGCCUGCCCGGUGCUGGAAGGUUAAGAGGAGCGCUUAGCGUAAGCGAAGGUGCGAAUUGAAGCCCCAGUAAACGGCGGCCGUAACUAUAACGGUCCUAAGGUAGCGAAAUUCCUUGUCGGGUAAGUUCCGACCCGCACGAAAGGCGCAACGAUCUGGGCACUGUCUCAACGAGAGACUCGGUGAAAUUAUAGUACCUGUGAAGAUGCAGGUUACCCGCGACAGGACGGAAAGACCCCGUGGAGCUUUACUGCAGCCUGAUAUUGAAUGUUGGUACAGCUUGUACAGGAUAGGUAGGAGCCUUGGAAACCGGAGCGCCAGCUUCGGUGGAGGCAUCGGUGGGAUACUACCCUGGCUGUAUUGACCUUCUAACCCGCCGCCCUUAUCGGGCGGGGAGACAGUGUCAGGUGGGCAGUUUGACUGGGGCGGUCGCCUCCUAAAAGGUAACGGAGGCUGUAAAGGCACAAGGGAGCUUGACUGCGAGACCUACAAGUCGAGCAGGGACGAAAGUCGGGCUUAGUGAUCCGGUGGUUCCGCAUGGAAGGGCCAUCGCUCAACGGAUAAAAGCUACCCCGGGGAUAACAGGCUUAUCUCCCCCAAGAGUCCACAUCGACGGGGAGGUUUGGCACCUCGAUGUCGGCUCAUCGCAUCCUGGGGCUGUAGUCGGUCCCAAGGGUUGGGCUGUUCGCCCAUUAAAGCGGUACGCGAGCUGGGUUCAGAACGUCGUGAGACAGUUCGGUCCCUAUCCGUCGCGGGCGCAGGAAAUUUGAGAGGAGCUGUCCUUAGUACGAGAGGACCGGGAUGGACGCACCGCUGGUGUACCAGUUGUUCUGCCAAGGGCAUCGCUGGGUAGCUAUGUGCGGACGGGAUAAGUGCUGAAAGCAUCUAAGCAUGAAGCCCCCCUCAAGAUGAGAUUUCCCAUUCCGCAAGGAAGUAAGAUCCCUGAAAGAUGAUCAGGUUGAUAGGUCUGAGGUGGAAGUGUGGCGACACAUGGAGCUGACAGAUACUAAUCGAUCGAGGACUUAACCACAUUU
rnacentral:rRNA from 1 species